rnacentral:rRNA from 1 species
CCUACGGGAGGCAGCAGUGAGGAAUAUUGGUCAAUGGGCGAGAGCCUGAACCAGCCAAGUCGCGUGAAGGAUGACGGCCCUACGGGUUGUAAACUUCUUUUGUCAGGGAGCAAUUGAGGCCACGUGUGGGCUUAGCGAGAGUACCUGAAGAAAAAGCAUCGGCUAACUCCGUGCCAGCAGCGGCGGUAAUACGGAGGAUGCGAGCGUUAACCGGAUUUAUGGGGUUUAAAGGGUGCGUAGGCGGAAUAGCAAGUCAGGGGUAAAAAUUCGGGGCUCAACCCCGUCGUGCCGUUGAAACUGAUGUUCUUGAGUGGGCGAGAAGUAUGCGGAAUGCGUGGUGUAGCGGUGAAAUGCAUAGAUAUCACGCAGAACUCCGAUUGCGAAGGCAGCAUACCGGCGCCCAACUGACGCUGAAGCACGAAAGCGUGGGUAUCGAACAGGAUUAGAUACCCCGGUAGUC